rnacentral:rRNA from 1 species
CCUACGGGUGGCAGCAGUGAGGAAUAUUGGUCAAUGGACGAGAGUCUGAACCAGCCAAGUAGCGUGAAGGAUGACUGCCCUAUGGGUUGUAAACUUCUUUUAUAUGGGAAUAAAAUGUUCCACGUGUGGGAUUUUGUAUGUACCAUAUGAAUACGGAUCGGCUAACUCCGUGCCAGCAGCCGCGGUAAUACGGAGGAUCCGAGCGUUAUCCGGAUUUAUUGGGUUUAAAGGGAGCGUAGGUGGAUUGUUAAGUCAGUUGUGAAAGUUUGCGGCUCAACCGUAAAAGUGCAGUUGAAACUGGCAGUCUUGAGUACAGUAGAGGUGGGCGGAAUUCGUGGUGUAGCGGUGAAAUGCUUAGAUAUCACGAAGAACUCCGAUUGCGAAGGCAGUUCACUGGACUGCAACUGACACUGAGGCUCGAAAGUGUGGGUAUCAAACAGGAUGAGAUACCCCUGUAGUC